UCUAGUCCCUGCGUUCUGACUCCCAGCCGUCCACUCCCUGGCACACUUCCCCGUUGCCAGGUCGGGUCGGAUGGGGAUCAGAGUCCAGGGGCCACCCGGU
rfam:Okibacterium fritillariae strain VKM Ac-2059 genome assembly, contig: Ga0139019_11